rnacentral:rRNA from 1 species
UACGGAGGGUGCGAGCGUUGUCCGGAAUCACUGGGCGUAAAGCGUGCGCAGGCGGUUUUGUAAGUCUGUCGUGAAAUCCCCGGGCUCAACCUGGGAAUUGCGAUGGAGACUGCAAGGCUAGAAUCUGGCAGAGGGGGGUAGAAUUCCACGUGUAGCAGUGAAAUGCGUAGAGAUGUGGAGGAACACCCGAUGGCGAAGGCAAGCCCCCUGGGUCCCAAGGAUUGACGCUCAUGCCA